ACAUUUAGCUUUUUCGAAUGUCAGUGGCGAAAGGGUGAGAACACGUGGGAUACCUGCCUUAGAGCUUGGGAUAACCAAUCGAAAGAUUGGCUAAUACCGGAUACGUCUACAUUUCUUCAUUGAAGUGUAGGGAAAGAUAGGGACCUCUUCGGAGGCCUGUCACUCUUAGAUGGGCCCGCGGCCUAUCAGCUAGUUGGUGAGGUAAUGGCUCACCAAGGCUAAGACGGGUAGCUGGUCUGAGAGGAUGGUCAGCCACACUGGGACUGAGACACUGCCCAGACACCUACGGGUGGCUGCAGUCGAGAAUCUUUCGCAAUGGGGGCAACCCUGACGAAGCGACGCCGCGUGCAGGAUGAAGGCCUUCGGGUUGUAAACUGCUGUCGGCUGGGACGAAAAAGCUGCUGAUUAAUAAUCAGCGGCCUUGACGGUACCAGCAAAGGAAGCCACGGCUAACUCUGUGCCAGCAGCCGCGGUAAUACAGAGGUGGCAAGCGUUGUUCGGAUUUAUUGGGCGUAAAGGGUCCGUAGGCGGUUCGGAAAGUCAGAUGUGAAAUCCUACAGCUUAACUGUAGAACUGCAUUUGAAACUUCCAGACUAGAGUAUGAGAGGGGUUAAGGGAAUUCCCGGUGUAAGGGUGAAAUCUGCAGAGAUCGGGAGGAACACCAGUCGCGAAGGCGCUUAACUGGCUCAUUACUGACGCUCAGGGACGAAAGCUAGGGGAGCAAACGGGAUUAGAUACCCCGGUAGUCCUAGCCGUAAACUAUGGUCACUAGGUGUUGGGAGGGUUAAACCUUUCAGUGCCGACGCUCACGCAUUAAGUGACCUGCCUGGGGAGUA
rnacentral:rRNA from 1 species